ensembl:snoRNA
CCCCUUUUAAAAGUACUCAGUGGGCCUUGACUCAUGGCCCACCGAGCCUCCCCUAAAGAGCAGACUGAAAACACCACUUUUGGGAGAAGGGGCAGCGUGAGGUGUUCCGCUUCGGUCGCUGGUGUGACAGGC